CGUGAGCCAGGUCGGUUUCUAUCCUAAGAUAUAUAAUAUUCAUAUUAGUACGAAAGGACCAUAUGAUUAAAAUAAUUUUUGUUUAUUGGUUAAAAUUAAUUGUUU
rnacentral:rRNA from 1 species